CGGGGAAUCUUGGACAAUGGGCGCAAGCCUGAUCCAGCCAUGCCGCGUGAGUGAAGAAGGCCUUCGGGUUGUAAAGCUCUUUUACCAGGGACGAUAAUGACGGUACCUGGAGAAUAAGCCCCGGCAAACUUCGUGCCAGCAGCCGCGGUAAUACGAAGGGGGCUAGCGUUGUUCGGAAUUACUGGGCGUAAAGCGCACGUAGGCGGAUUGUUAAGUCAGAGGUGAAAUCCCGGAGCUCAACUUCGGAACUGCCUUUGAUACUGGCAAUCUAGAGUCCGGAAGAGGUUAGUGGAAUUCCCAGUGUAGAGGUGAAAUUCGUAGAUAUUGGGAAGAACACCAGUGGCGAAGGCGGCUAACUGGUCCGGUACUGACGCUGAGGUGCGGAAGCGUGGGGAGCAAACAGGAUUAGAUACCCCUGUAGUCCCUGAGCGGGCUGGCAAGGCGCAU
rnacentral:rRNA from 1 species